rnacentral:rRNA from 1 species
GACGAACCGUACGAACGUUAUUCGGAAUUACUGGGCUUAAAGGGUGCGUAGGCGGCGCAGUAAGUUGGGUGUGAAAUCCCUCGGCUUAACCGAGGAAUUGCGCCCAAAACUACUGUGCUUGAGGGAGAUAGAGGUGAGCGGAACUUAGGGUGGAGCGGUGAAAUGCGUUGAUAUCCUAAGGAACACAGGUGGCGAAAGCGGCUCACUGGAUCUCUUCUGACGCUGAGGCACGAAAGCUAGGGUAGCAAACGGG